rnacentral:rRNA from 1 species
UACAGAGGCCCCGAGCGUUAAUCGGAAUCACUGGGCUUAAAGGGUGCGUAGGCGGAUUUGCAAGCGUCUUGUGAAAGCCCUCGGCUCAACCGAGGAACUGCGGGGCGAACUGCAAAUCUUGAGGCAGGUAUGGGUUGCUGGAACAGUAGGUGGAGCGGUGAAAUGCGUAGAUAUCUACUGGAACGCCGAUGGUGAAGACGAGCAACUGGGCCUGUCCUGACGCUGAGGCACGAAAGCGUGGGGAGCAAACAGG